GCGCGGUUAGCUCAGUGGUAGAGCACUACCUUGACACGGUAGGGGUCACAGGUUCGAACCCUGUAUCGCGCACCA
rnacentral:tRNA from 10 species